AAGAAGAGUGAUUAUAAGAAGAUUCUUGUAUCCUCAUGUCUAAGCAUGUACCAAGGAAGAUAUUAGCAUUUCAUACAUACGAUAUCUAUAUUUUCUCUCUCUCCCCAUGACUAUAAGCCGACAGUAGGGUCUAAAUGCUGCCAUUAGUAGAGGCGACAACACUUGCCUCCCUCUCUCUCCUCUCUUUCCUCUUUCCUUUUUCUUUCACCUAAUGAGUUUAUCUCUUGCCAAUUAUGGAAACCUUAAUCUGUCGUAUCUCUUUUUUCUUCUUUUAUAUAACACUUCACCACUCAUCAUCUCUUCUCUAAACAUAACGAACUACUUUUCUUAAUCCAUACUUCUAACUAUUCCUUGAUCAUACUUCUCCUACAUAUAUCAUAUAGUGUGAUCAACCUCAACCUCGACCUCGACCUCGACCUCGUGCUCGACCGAUCAUCGUCGACAACCUCUACACCGUCGGGCCACGCCAGUGAGGCUAGGGUGUUUUCUUGCACUUAUUGUAAGAGGAAGUUUUAUAGCUCUCAAGCUUUAGGGGGUCAUCAAAAUGCCCAUAAACUUGAACGUACUUUAGCCAAGAAAAGUAAGGAGCUUAAUUCCGUAGUUACUAAUAAGCCUCAUAACUUGGGUACGCCUCAGCAUGUACACCCUCAAAAGCAGUUUAGUGAUCACAUGGGUAGUUAUGGAAGAAGGGAUAUUAACUAUGGUUCAACCAAAGAAGAUCUUGAUUUGUCUUUAAGGCUUUAAUUAUUGUUAGAUUAUUAUAAUUAUUGAUCAUAUUUAACUAGUGCUACGUAUGUACUAGAGAUGUGUAAUAUUUUUUAGCAUCAUGAAUAUCUAUAAUUUGCUUGCUAAGCUAGCUAAGUUUUGCCAUUAAUUAAGGAAAGAAAUAGGUUAGUUAGUUCUUACUUUUGGUAAUUAGAUUGUCCAUGCAUGGCCUAGACUCUAGAGGGCUAUUUGAUAACGUAACUUGGGUGGUUACCAAGUUAGGAGUCACCUUAUUCAUAUACCCCAUCAAUCUCUUAGAUAUGUUUCAUUUUCUUUUUCUUCAUAUAAUAUACCUUCAUAUUGUGCUUUGUACUAGUUUGUAGUAAAUUAUAUUAUCACAUGAGUUUAUACUA